rnacentral:rRNA from 1 species
UGGGAAUUUUGCGCAAUGGGGGAAACCCUGACGCAGCAACGCCGCGUGAGUGAUGAAGGCCUUCGGGUUGUAAAGCUCUUUUAGUUGGGACGAAAAAAAUGACGGUACCAACAGAAAAAGCACCGGCUAACUCUGUGCCAGCAGCCGCGGUAAUACAGAGGGUGCAAGCGUUAUUCGGAUUUACUGGGCGUAAAGAGCGUGUAGGUGGCUCGAUAAGUCUGAUGUGAAAGCCCUGGGCUCAACCCAGGAAGUGCAUUGGAUACUGUCAAGCUAGAGGACAGGAGGGGAGAGCGGAAUUCCAGGUGUAGAGGUGAAAUUCGUAGAUAUCUGGAGGAACAACGGUGGCGAAGGCGGCUCUCUGGACUGUGUCUGACACUAAGGCGCGAAAGCGUGGGGAGCAAAC